rnacentral:rRNA from 1 species
GACGAACGCUGGCGGCGUGCCUAAUACAUGCAAGUAGAACGCUGAAGAGAGGAGCUUGCUCUUCUUGGAUGAGUUGCGAACGGGUGAGUAACGCGUAGGUAACCUGCCUUGUAGCGGGGGAUAACUAUUGGAAACGAUAGCUAAUACCGCAUAACAAUGGAUGACACAUGUCAUUUAUUUGAAAGGGGCAAUUGCUCCACUACAAGAUGGACCUGCGUUGUAUUAGCUAGUAGGUGAGGUAAUGGCUCACCUAGGCGACGAUACAUAGCCGACCUGAGAGGGUGAUCGGCCGAACUGGGACUGGGACCCGGCCCAGAGGCCUGCGGGAGGCAGCAGUAGGGAGUCGUCGGCAAUGGGGGAAACCCUGACCGAGCAACGACGCGUGAGGGAAGAAGGUUUUCGGAUCGUAAAGCUCUGUUGUAAGUCAAGAACGGGUGAGAGAGUGGAAUGUUCACACUGUGACGGUAGCUUACCAGAAAGGGACGGCUAACUACGUG